rnacentral:rRNA from 1 species
AGUGAACGCUGGCGGUAGGCCUAACACAUGCAAGUCGAACGGCAGCACAGUAAGAGCUUGCUCUUACGGGUGGCGAGUGGCGGACGGGUGAGGAAUACAUCGGAAUCUACUUUUUCGUGGGGGAUAACGUAGGGAAACUUACGCUAAUACCGCAUACGACCUACGGGUGAAAGCAGGGGAUCUUCGGACCUUGCGCGAUUGAAUGAGCCGAUGUCGGAUUAGCUAGUUGGCGGGGUAAAGGCCCACCAAGGCGACGAUCCGUAGCUGGUCUGAGAGGAUGAACAGCCACACUGGAACUGAGACACGGUCCAGACUCCUACGGGGGGCAGCAGUGGGGAAUAGUGGACAAUGGGCGCAAGCCUUAUCCAGCCAUACCGCGUGGGUGAAGAAGGCCUGCGUGUUGUAAAGCCCUUUUGUUGGGAAAGAAAAGCAGCAGGUUAAUACCCCGCUGUUCUGACGGUACCCAAAGAAUAAGCACCGGCUAACUUCG